GGGAGCGGUGGUCCUCCGCGCCGGGGCUGCUGGGAGCUGUGGUCGGCCUUGCGCCCCUGAGCUGCGGGCUCGGCGCCGGCUUUGUCUGCGGGUACGCGCCGCUGCGGUGCUCAAGAAUAGCCCAUGGAAGAAUCAUCUGAAGAGGUGGUGAUUAAGGUCUCAGACCAGGAGUGGACAUGUUUGGAUUUCCAACAGCUACCCUGCUGGACUGUCAUGGGAGAUAUGCCCAGAAUGUAGCAUUUUUCAAUGUGAUGACAGAAGCCCACCACAAAUAUGAUCACUCUGAGGCCACAGGAUCUUCCAGCUGGGAUUUCCAGAAUGCUUUCAGAAGAGAGAAGCUGGAACAGAAGUCUCCAGAUUCUAAGACACUCCAGGAAGAUUCACCUGGAGUGAGACAGAAGGUUUAUGAGUGCCAGGACUGUGGCAAGUCCUUCCGGCAAAAAGGUAGCCUGACAUUACAUGAGAGAAUCCACACUGGUCAAAAGCCCUUUGAGUGCACCCAUUGUGGAAAAAGCUUCCGGGCCAAAGGCAAUCUUGUUACACACCAGCGAGUACACACAGGAGAGAAGCCCUAUCAGUGCAAAGAGUGUGGGAAAAGCUUUAGUCAGCGAGGCAGUCUGGCCGUCCAUGAAAGACUCCACACUGGACAGAAACCCUAUGAGUGUGCCAUUUGCCAGAGAAGCUUCAGGAAUCAAAGUAACCUUGCUGUUCACCGAAGAGUUCACAGUGGUGAAAAGCCCUACAGAUGUGACCAGUGUGGGAAAGCCUUCAGUCAGAAAGGUAGCUUAAUCGUUCACAUCCGGGUGCACACGGGCCUGAAGCCCUAUGCCUGUGCCCAGUGUAGGAAGAGCUUCCAUACUAGAGGGAAUUGUGUUCUGCAUGGCAAAGUCCACACAGGAGAGGCUCCCUACCUGUGCAGCCAGUGUGGAAAAAGCUUCACUCAAAGAGGGAGUCUGGCUGUGCACCAGCGAAGCUGCUCACAAAGGCUCACCCUUUGACUUUCUUCACAGGAAGUUCUCUGUAUGGAUUAAAGGAAGUUAUCUUUAUGAAUUAAGAAUGCAAAACCCUCUGCGGUCACACAGCCUAUCCAAUGGUGUGGAAUGAAUGGCGAAUCUUCUAGGAAGACCAGUGUUAGAUUCAGCUGAGCUCCCAAGAAACAGCUGGCAUGAACUCCGUGCUGUGGAAUCUAGUUACUGCAGACAUCCAGCCCAAGAGAACUUCAGAUGACCAGCCCUGCUGACCUCUGACCCCAAAUUGUCAAGCAAGCCACAUUCCUGUCUGGACUCUGGAUAGAGGUGAUUCCUUCCUAAGCCCACUCAGGUGGUGGCAGAAAACAUUUCCUUAUAGGAUUGAAGGUCCCAGCUUCUUACUGGCUCUUGGCUGAAGUUUGUCUUAGGUGCCUGGAAGUUUUCUGCUACCAUAUGGCAGUUUGCUUUUAAGUCCAACAAACUCAGUUUAUCUUUACAGUCUACUAAGAACACAGACACACAUAGCUUAAUCAUAGCAGUGACAUUCCAUCAUGUUUGCCAUACUCUGUACAUAGUUGGAAGCAAGUCUCAAAUUCUACACACAUUCAGGAAGGGGAAUAUACAAGGGUAGAGGUCUUGGUGGGUAACCCAAGUACAUUCAUUUCCUAGGGCUGCUAGAACAAAUGUGUGACUUUCCUUCUGUUUUAUACAUUCUAUAAAUGUGCUUUAAUUUCUUUUAUAUUUUAAACUCUUAUCCAUGAUGUACUUUUAUCAUAAAAGGUCCAAGUAAUACAUAAACUAUCUAGGAAGGGUAUUAUACCAUUAUUCUAUUAUUCAGCCAUUUUACCCAUGUCUUAGACAUCUUUCUGUCAGUUCUCACACGUCUAACUUAUCAAAUAUUAAUUGAUUUAAGGACUGCCUUUAAAUUAAUUAUUAAAUGACAAAUGACAAGGAAGGCAUGUAUCUUAAUUUGACUAUUGCUCUAUUAUGGACAUUACAAUUACUACAAUUUUUCAUUAAUACAACACUGUAAAGACCAUCUUUAUUUCAGGUUUGGUUUGGUUUGGUUCAGUUCAGGUCAGGGUCUUGUUAUAUAGUCCAGGCUGUCCUCAAACUCACUGUGUAGGCCAGGCUGGCCUCACAAUCCUCCUCCCUCUGUGCUCCCAGUGCUGGGAUUACAGGCAUGUGCCACCAUGCCUCACUUUUAUUAACUGUUAAUAGAAAUGUUAGGGUACAAUGGUACAAGUUAUGUUUCUCACCAGCAAGUACAUUGCUAAUUCACAAUUUCAUAUGCAAGUGUGCCUAUAUUCUUGAACUCUCAAAAGCACCAUAUAUUGUCUAGUUUAUCAAUUUUUUGCCAUACAGACACAGCAAUCUGAUCCCCCCUCCCGACCCCCUUACCUGAGAUCAAACUCAGGACCUUGUGCUUUUGAGGCAGGCACGGUGCCACUGAGCUAAAUCCCUGGCCCAAGAAACCUGAUUCUUAAUUCACAUUUCUCUAUAGGUAACCAUCCCUUUUUAGUUUGACCAGUUGGAUUUCUUUUCCUAACAAUAGCACAAUCAGAUCCAAAACUAUUUCCCCACUCGAAUUUUUGUUUUUCUCACAUGUAAGUACUCUUUAGUAUUUGUUAACUAUGAUAUGGUCUGACUCCUUGUAUCUUAACACUGUAAAGUCACUGGUCAUACAAAAGGUUUGGGGUUUUUUUGGUUUUUGUUUUUUGUUUAUUUCAGGUUCGGGGGAUGGAACUCAGGUCCUUGCUCUUUCAAGGCAGGUGCAGCGCCACUGAGCUAAAUCCCCAGCCUUAGGCUUUAGUUUUUACAUGGUUUUAUAAAUUUUAUUUUUAUGGCUUCUAAAUUUCUAAAUUAGGAAGGCAACUAUAUUAAAUUACAGAUUAUAUGUUAAUGUAUGUUUGUUUAAAUAUUUCAAAGAACACAAGUAAAAUUUGGCUUCAUCAUACCAAUACCACAUCCUCCUCAAAGAUGACUACUGUUAAAAGUUUCUGUAUUGCCUCUAUUUUGCCAGGUCUUUUUGAACGCAUAUAAUGUAUAUGUACAAGUACUAAAGAAUAGCUUUAUUUUAAAAAUAUAAAUUAGACUAUAACAUACUGAUUUUCUGCAACUUGCUUUUAUUGUUCUUUUUGUGGUGCUGGAGAUUGAGCUCUGAGCCUUUCAUUUGCUAGCCUUAAAAUCUUCCUGCCUCUGUGCUCCCAGGUGCUUGGGACACUCCACCACAGAGCUAUAACCCAGCCCCAUCAAGCCGCUGUAUGUAACCUAAGGUAUCACAGAGUUAUUUCUACUGCUGACUUGGAGUUCUGGCUCAUUCUUUUCAAUUGGUACACAAUUCUAGAGUAACUUUCCACAUUGAUAGAUUUACAUUCCUCAAAUAUCUUAUUCGUGCAAACCACACAAUGAACACCCUUACAAGUGAGGAGUUCUCCCAGACAAGUACACAUCUUCGUUAAAUGUGUAAUUCAUUGAAUGUCUCCUCUUUGACGGUCAGAGGGAAUAAAGUACUUCUGCAUGACAACA